rnacentral:sRNA from 1 species
CUUCUUCGACCUGUUGAGGGCAAAUGUAGUGAACAUGGACAUCGAGGGCACCGGCUGUGACAAUUAGCUUCUCGCCGGCGAUGACUUCUGUAGAGGAGCCAAUGAGGAGGUUAGGGUCCACAUUGGCCAUGACGUCGGGGUUUCCUGCUUUGCCGAUUCCAACAAUCACGCCGUCUUUGACACCAAUGUCUGCCUGAUAACAGGGAACUCGGAUGUCAGUCGAAACGAAGCAUCAGAUGGUAGUUGCUCGCACCUUGUAGAUUCCGGACCAGUCGAUGAUCAGGGCAUUGGUUAUGACAAGAUCUAAGGCGUCGACCGCCGAUACCCCAGUUCCUUGGCCCAUGCCCUCGCGAAU